CUUUCUUCAUACUUAAAAGAACAAUCUGAGUAUAUAAGAAAACUGAAGUUCUAGAGUUACUGAUUCAACGCCUAACAUAUGUUCUGAAAUAAGAUGGUCUGAAUGAUAUAAAGCAUUCAGUCAGAUUAGGGAGAUAAAAUAACAAAAAGAAAUGGAAUGAAAAGUUAUUAUAGCCAAAGAUAUGCUUUGCUUUGCUACUUGCCUCCCAAAUAUAUGUGUCAAAUUUGCUUUCUUAAUUACAGACACAAAAGGGAAAUUUUUGAAUUAUGAGUGUCUACAAUUCAUGAAGUUGAGUUUGUUGCAUAAUUUGUUUUUGUUGUAUUGCACUCAAAUGGAAAAGUCUAAUGUAUGUGUCUUGUCUGUUCAGUUGCCACAGGCUGUUUGGCAAGAUAUUGAGAAUUAUUCAAGCCAAUGAACAAGUAAAUUCCCCUGCAUAAAUUAAAAGCAAAGGCAAAGAUUGAUGAAAUAAUUUGAAGCUGCCUUACGAUAAAAUCAUAAUGUAGGAAGAAGUAAAAAUUAACUAAACCUUACAGUAGCGGCCAUAGUAAUCUUCUGAUUUCAAAGAAUGAACAGUAAAACCACAGUUUAAAUAAUGUUUCAAUAUCUGAUUUUUCCCCCAAAGACAAUAUUUGCCAAUUAAAUAGUUAUGUUUAAAAUAAAUCAAUCACAUAUGUUUUCUAUAGCUUUUGGACUAAGCUAAAUGCUAGGUCAUAACAUUUAGAUUUAGUGUUCAAAGUCCAUGACAGACUCUUUAUUUAUGGUCCUCCUAAGAUUAAAUCACAAGCCAAGAACAAGUUGAUCUGGUCUUUGGAAAGUGUGGGCUACACAAGAUCCCUCAAGUUUCCAUCUUGAAUAAGUGUGAUUGAAAUGCAGCAUUAAACCUCAUGGAAGCUCUCACUUCUUUUUGUUUUGAUUUGUUUUGAUUGUCUCAGCAUUAAAGGAAUACUCAUGCUUUUAAAGGUGACUUAAGUUUUCAGGAACUUUAAGAGUUGUUGCAUUUUUAGAGGUAUAACAAUGUUAGAAAUUACUUCUACAGUACUUAAAGUGUGCACCUAGUACUGUGCUCAGUACAAUUUCUAAAAUUUUGUUAUUUUUAUCUCAUUGUACUUAUUUAUGGGGCACAUUAUUUAUGGGGCACAUUCAGUACCUGUGUACAAUGUAAGUACAAUAUAUUAACUCAAUUAAAUCCUCACACCACUACAAUGAAAUAUGAACGAUUAUUAUCUCUAUUUUACAAAUGGAGAAACUAAGGCCUGGAGAAAUUAGACAACAUGUAUCAAGUCUCUGGGCAAGUGACUGCCCCAGCAAGGACUUGCACUCUGGUAAUCUGGCUUGAUAACAGACCUCCUCCCUCUGCUGCUUCUGAAUUG
rnacentral:lncRNA from 1 species